rnacentral:tRNA from 1 species
GGGUCGAUGCCCGAGUGGUUAAUGGG